AACUUUCAACAAACGGAUCUCUUGGUUCUGGCAUCGAUGAAGAACGCAGCGAAAAUGCGAAUAAGU
rnacentral:rRNA from 1 species